UGUAAAAUUUUAAUGUCAAAAUAAAACUUACAAAAUUCUUUUACCGUUUGAUUGAAAGUUCUUUGGCCAGCAAUAGCAAAACCGCCAACGAUUUCAGUUUAAAGAGAGAACGAUGACAAAUAUAUAUUCACACAGCUCAAUAGUUUCUCCAUAAAAUUUUAGCCGCCUCAGACGACAGACAAUUGCUGUGAAAGAAAAAGUGUGAUUCAAUUUGCUGUGGCUGAAAAGGAGGAUAGCAGAGACAAACAAACAAGAGCAAACAGCAAGAGCAAAUUUCAUGUUUACAUCGACGUAAACAAAGGUAUCAACAACAGCAUCAAUAACAAUAGCUACAGCUUCUGGCCAAGUAUCAUACGCAGCAAUGGCAUCCACUCAGAGCACAACAAAAACAAUUAUGAGCAAAAGUAUUUCAUCGGCAGGUGCUGGUGGUAGUGGUCUAGGUGGAAUUCCUGCAAACACAACAUGGUACCACUAUCAACUACAAUAACGUCAGCAGCAGCGACAUCAGCAACAAAUGCAAUGGCCACAGUUACCUCAGAUCUAGGUAUUUUAUGCUUCCAACAAUGCAAUGUGAAAGUUUCUUGUUUUAUAUUUGUCCACAAUGUAAACGACAUUGGACCCAGAUUCCAGUGCGGGCGGUGGUGGUUUUAGCGGUCUUGCAAACAAACGAAACAAUUCCAAGAAAUUGAUUCCAGCUACAAAUAAUGCCCAAAUGGUCACUACCAAAGAACAUUACGCCCACCAUCAUGGACAUGAUGUUCAUAAUGACACUAAAAGUGAUAAUCAUGAUGAUGAUCAAUGGCAUAAUGGAAAUGGCCAACAACAUCUGGCCUCAAUGUAUCAAGACAAUAAUGAUGAUGAAGAUGACCGAAAUGGUGAUAAAACUAAAAUUACUGCGUUUGUCACAUUAUGGACAGCCACUUCUUGCCAUUUCGUUUCGUUUGCCUUAUCCGUUUGUUCGGGCCAGUCAUCAUUCCUGUGCUAUAGUCUUACGUCACACUACAGUUUUCACAACAUUUUGAUGCUUUUGUUCAAUCUUUGGUCUUUUUUGCUGAUACGAGUAAUACAAAUUUAACUCUCAUGUAUUUGAUUCGUUUGGCUGUUGAAUGUUGGCUAAUGGUGGCAGCAUCAACCGGACCAAAGCCUAGUGACAAGAAAGAGAAGUUCGACAUAUCUCUUACGCCCCUUCUCAGCUGUGGUAUGCAAAAUAACAACUGAAAUGUAAUUAAAAAAUAUGUUUAUUUGGCCUAUAUCCAAUGUGAGAUGCGAAGCAAGCAAUUGUCUGCAAUUUUUUUUUUUCAUUGUAUUUAUUUGCUAAAACUGCCAAAGGAUGUCCAAACGAAACAUAAUGAAAAACAAAAGAAGAAAACAACUGAACAAAAUAUAAACAAAUAAAACAUAAAUAAUGAGGUU